rnacentral:rRNA from 1 species
CCUACGGGUGGCUGCAGUGGGGAAUAUUGGGCAAUGGGCGAAAGCCUGACCCAGCGACGCCGCGUGGGUGAUGAAGGCCUUCGGGUUGUAAAGCCCUGUCAUGCGGAAAGAACAGUCUUACGGUUAAUACCCGUGAGAUUUGACGGUACCGCAGGAGGAAGCACCGGCUAACUCCGUGCCAGCAGCCGCGGUAAUACGGAGGGUGCAAGCGUUGUUCGGGAUUAUUGGGCGGGUAAUACGCGUCAGCGGUGAAAUACUUCGGCUCAACUGAAGAACUGCAUCUGAAACUUCAUAACUAGAGUACAGAAGAGGGAAAUGGAAUUCCCGGUGUAGAGGUGAAAUUCGUAGAUAUCGGGAGGAACACCAGUGGCGAAGGCGAUUUCCUGGUCUGAUACUGACGCUGAGGCGUGAAAGUGUGGGGAGCAAACAGGAUUAGAUACCCCAGUAGUC